UUAAGUUAUUAAGGGCGCACGGUGGAUGCCUUGGCACUAGAAGCCGAUGAAGGACGUUACUAACGACGAUAUGCUUUGGGGAGCUGUAAGUAAGCUUUGAUCCAGAGAUUUCCGAAUGGGGAAACCCAGCAUGAGUUAUGUCAUGUUAUCGAUAUGUGAAUACAUAGCAUAUCAGAAGGCACACCCGGAGAACUGAAACAUCUUAGUACCCGGAGGAAGAGAAAGAAAAUUCGAUUCCCUUAGUAGCGGCGAGCGAAACGGGAAGAGCCCAAACCAACAAGCUUGCUUGUUGGGGUUGUAGGACACUCUAUACGGAGUUACAAAGGACGACAUUAGACGAAUCAUCUGGAAAGAUGAAUCAAAGAAGGUAAUAAUCCUGUAGUCGAAAAUGUUGUCUCUCUUGAGUGGAUCCUGAGUACGACGGAGCACGUGAAAUUCCGUCGGAAUCUGGGAGGACCAUCUCCUAAGGCUAAAUACUCUCUAGUGACCGAUAGUGAACCAGUACCGUGAGGGAAAGGUGAAAAGCACCCCGGAAGGGGAGUGAAAUAGAACCUGAAACCGUGUGCUUACAAGUAGUCAGAGCCCGUUAAUGGGUGAUGGCGUGCCUUUUGUAGAAUGAACCGGCGAGUUACGAUUUGAUGCAAGGUUAAGCAGUAAAUGUGGAGCCGUAGCGAAAGCGAGUCUGAAUAGGGCGUUUAGUAUUUGGUCGUAGACCCGAAACCAGGUGAUCUACCCUUGGUCAGGUUGAAGUUCAGGUAACACUGAAUGGAGGACCGAACCGACUUACGUUGAAAAGUGAGCGGAUGAACUGAGGGUAGCGGAGAAAUUCCAAUCGAACCUGGAGAUAGCUGGUUCUCUCCGAAAUAGCUUUAGGGCUAGCCUCAAGUGAUGAUUAUUGGAGGUAGAGCACUGUUUGGACGAGGGGCCCCUCUCGGGUUACCGAAUUCAGACAAACUCCGAAUGCCAAUUAAUUUAACUUGGGAGUCAGAACAUGGGUGAUAAGGUCCGUGUUCGAAAGGGAAACAGCCCAGACCACCAGCUAAGGUCCCAAAAUAUAUGUUAAGUGGAAAAGGAUGUGGCGUUGCCCAGACAACUAGGAUGUUGGCUUAGAAGCAGCCAUCAUUUAAAGAGUGCGUAAUAGCUCACUAGUCGAGUGACACUGCGCCGAAAAUGUACCGGGGCUAAACAUAUUACCGAAGCUGUGGAUUGUCCUUUGGACAAUGGUAGGAGAGCGUUCUAAGGGCGUUGAAGCAUGAUCGUAAGGACAUGUGGAGCGCUUAGAAGUGAGAAUGCCGGUGUGAGUAGCGAAAGACGGGUGAGAAUCCCGUCCACCGAUUGACUAAGGUUUCCAGAGGAAGGCUCGUCCGCUCUGGGUUAGCCGGGUCCUAAGCUGAGGCCGACAGGCGUAGGCGAUGGAUAACAGGUUGAUAUUCCUGUACCACCUAUAAUCGUUUUAAUCGAUGGGGGGACGCAGUAGGAUAGGCGAAGCGUGCGAUUGGAUUGCACGUCUAAGCAGUAAGGCUGAGUAUUAGGCAAAUCCGGUACUCGUUAAGGCUGAGCUGUGAUGGGGAGAAGACAUUGUGUCUUCGAGUCGUUGAUUUCACACUGCCGAGAAAAGCCUCUAGAUAGAAAAUAGGUGCCCGUACCGCAAACCGACACAGGUAGUCAAGAUGAGAAUUCUAAGGUGAGCGAGCGAACUCUCGUUAAGGAACUCGGCAAAAUGACCCCGUAACUUCGGGAGAAGGGGUGCUCUUUAGGGUUAACGCCCAGAAGAGCCGCAGUGAAUAGGCCCAAGCGACUGUUUAUCAAAAACACAGGUCUCUGCUAAACCGUAAGGUGAUGUAUAGGGGCUGACGCCUGCCCGGUGCUGGAAGGUUAAGAGGAGUGGUUAGCUUCUGCGAAGCUACGAAUCGAAGCCCCAGUAAACGGCGGCCGUAACUAUAACGGUCCUAAGGUAGCGAAAUUCCUUGUCGGGUAAGUUCCGACCCGCACGAAAGGCGUAACGAUUUGGGCACUGUCUCAACGAGAGACUCGGUGAAAUCAUAGUACCUGUGAAGAUGCAGGUUACCCGCGACAGGACGGAAAGACCCCGUGGAGCUUUACUGUAGCCUGAUAUUGAAAUUCGGCACAGCUUGUACAGGAUAGGUAGGAGCCUUUGAAACGUGAGCGCUAGCUUACGUGGAGGCGCUGGUGGGAUACUACCCUAGCUGUGUUGGCUUUCUAACCCGCACCACUUAUCGUGGUGGGAGACAGUGUCAGGCGGGCAGUUUGACUGGGGCGGUCGCCUCCUAAAAGGUAACGGAGGCGCUCAAAGGUUCCCUCAGAAUGGUUGGAAAUCAUUCAUAGAGUGUAAAGGCAUAAGGGAGCUUGACUGCGAGACCUACAAGUCGAGCAGGGUCGAAAGACGGACUUAGUGAUCCGGUGGUUCCGCAUGGAAGGGCCAUCGCUCAACGGAUAAAAGCUACCCCGGGGAUAACAGGCUUAUCUCCCCCAAGAGUUCACAUCGACGGGGAGGUUUGGCACCUCGAUGUCGGCUCAUCGCAUCCUGGGGCUGUAGUCGGUCCCAAGGGUUGGGCUGUUCGCCCAUUAAAGCGGUACGCGAGCUGGGUUCAGAACGUCGUGAGACAGUUCGGUCCCUAUCCGUCGUGGGCGUAGGAAAUUUGAGAGGAGCUGUCCUUAGUACGAGAGGACCGGGAUGGACAUACCUCUGGUGUACCAGUUGUCGUGCCAACGGCAUAGCUGGGUAGCUAUGUGUGGACGGGAUAAGUGCUGAAAGCAUCUAAGCAUGAAGCCCCCCUCAAGAUGAGAUUUCCCAACUUCGGUUAUAAGAUCCCUCAAAGAUGAUGAGGUUAAUAGGUUCGAGGUGGAAGCAUGGUGACAUGUGGAGCUGACGAAUACUAAUCGAUCGAAGACUUAAUCAA
rnacentral:rRNA from 1 species